rnacentral:rRNA from 1 species
UACGGAGGGGGCUAGCGUUAUUCGGAAUUAUUGGGCGUAAAGGGCGCGUAGGCGGCCCGAUAAGUCAAAGGUGAAAUCCUUCGGCUUAACCGGGGAACUGCGUCUGAUACUGGAUGGCUUGAGUUUGGGAGAGGGACGCGGAAUUCCAGGUGUAGCGGUGAAAUGCGUAGAUAUCGGGAGGAACACCGGUGGCGAAGGCGGCUCUCUGGACCUGUCCUGACGCUCAGGCGCGAAAGCUAGGGGAGCGAACAGG